CCUACGGGGGGCAGCAGUGGGGACUAUUGGACAAUGGGGGGAACCCUGAUCCAGCCAUGCCGCGUGUGUGAAGAAGGCCCUCGGGUUGUAAAGCACUUUCAGUGAGGAAGAACGCCUGGUGGUUAAUACCCAUCCGGAAAGACAUCACUCACAGAAGAAGCACCGGCUAACUCCGGCCAGCAGCCGCGGUAAUACGGAGGGUGCGAGCGUUAAUCGGAAUUACUGGGCGUAAAGCGCGCGUAGGUGGCUUGAUAAGCCGGUUGUGAAAGCCCCGGGCUCAACCUGGGAACGGCAUCCGGAACUGGCAAGCUAGAGUGUAGGAGAGGAAGGUAGAAUUCCCGGUGUAGCGGUGAAAUGCGUAGAGAUCGGGAGGAAUACCAGUGGCGAAGGCGGCCUUCUGGACUGACACUGACACUGAGGUGCGAAAGCGUGGGUAGCAAACAGGAUUAGAUACCCCGGUAGUC
rnacentral:rRNA from 1 species